AGAAUCCUUUCUGAUCACGUGCCGAUUAGGGCCAAUCAGGAGAGGGAGGAUACGACGACGCCAUCUAGCGCUCGAUAGUUUGACUCCUUAAAUAAUAACAAUUUACAGAGGACAGGGAAUUUGACAGACAGAAAUGGCCGACGUCUGCGGUGUGACAAUAAAACAAACAAAAUCCAAAUACAUUAUUUUCAGCUACGUGUGAGAGUUGAACUCUGGACCUUUUACUUGCCAUGCCGCUCUUCCACCACUAAGCUACCACUCAUAAAAUAUUGUUGUUUACGUCAGCAUCAUAAGCUGUCUGUCUGUCAAAUUAGGGAAGUAUCUCUCUCAAGGCAGCGGAUUCUCCCGGAUUCUCCCCAGUUCUUGUUUUUGAUUCCCAACUUUUCAUCCACUGAAACAUGGAAGUAUUUUACUUGGCAAGGACGGAUUGAUAUUUGAUAGCCAAAUUGAUAUCAAUAAGCGUGAUUCGGCAAAACGAAUGAAUGCUGUCUGCCCCACGCCGCUGUCCCCUGAGCAGGGAGGGGAUUGUGUGCUAUAGAUUACCAUAAAUCAUACAUAUAUAUAUAGAAAAUUGAAAUAUAAAUAUAUAUUUUUUUUACGUGGCGGUUCUUUUUUUUUUUUUUUUGAAGAGCCAAAUCAGCGAUUGAAGGGAUUCAAUCAUCUCAUGACGGAACCCAGGCCAGCAAGCGUAAAUGUCUUUUCCCACGUCCGUGAUACGAUUGCCCGACUGCCUAACGGGAAAGGGUUCGUUGGAGACAUUGCUCAGUUGUUGAGCAAUUCUCAAUACAUCACCCGCUGUAAGUCAAUUAGCAAACUGCUAGCAGCAGUGGUGUACUGCUUGCCAAUCCUAGCCAACGAGUGCCAUCCUUGUGUUGCCUUCAACAAAGAAACACAUUUAUUUCAUUACCAGCAAUACGGAUUCACUAUUGAAGAUCAUAAAGCGCUGGAAGAGAAAUUGACGCAACCGCAGCAGAAAAAAAGAAAAGCCGCUGAAAUGAAAACUAAAAGUGUUGCUGUCGCCAGGGAUUCAGAGUUAGCAGCAUGCGGAGAAAAAAGCAAAAUUUCCAACCCCAUUUUUCCUCUGCCAUUUGCACCGCAGAGGCUAGCGACCCAACAGAGCCAAAAGGCAGCGAAUUAACAGUAGCUAAUUUGGACUCCACAAUGCCCCCCAUUUGUGGGGCUAGUUA